rnacentral:misc_RNA from 1 species
CCGAGUUUACAACUCCCAAACCCCUGUGAACAUACCUAUAUGUUGCCUCGGCGGAUCAGCCCGCGCCCCGUAAAACGGGACGGCCCGCCGCAGGAUCCACAAACUCUGUUUUUAUUGUAACUUCUGAGUAACAAAACAAGUAAAUCA